AAUGAACGCUGGCGGCGUGCUUAACACAUGCAAGUCGAACGAGAAAGUUUCUUCGGAAACGAUUACAGUGGCGGACGGGUGAGUAACACGUGAGAAUUUGCCCUUCAGUGAAGAAUACCUUCGAGAAAUUGGAAUUAAUGCUGCAUACGUCCCUACGGGGAGAAAGGUGGCCUCUUGCUACCGCUGAAGGAUGAGCUCGCGUACUAUUAGUUUGUUGGUGGGGUAAUGGCCUACCAAGACGAUGAUGGUUAGCCGGCCUGAGAGGGUGUACGGCCACAUUGGGACUGAGAUACGGCCCAGACUCCUACGGGAGGCAGCAGUGGGGAAUAUUGCACAAUGGGCGAAAGCCUGAUGCAGCGACGCCGCGUGGAGGAUGAAGGAUUUAGGUUCGUAAACUCCUGUUAAGUGGGAAGAAAAGCUUACGGUUAAUACCCGUAAGUCAUGACGGUACCACUAGAGAAAGCUCCGGCUAACUUCGUG
rnacentral:rRNA from 1 species